AUACGGAGGGUCCGAGCGUUAAUCGGAAUUACUGGGCGUAAAGCGUACGUAGGUGGCUUGAUAAGUCGGAUGUGAAAGCCCAGGGCCCAACCUUGGAACUGCAUUCGAUACUGUUUAACUAGAGUACAGUAGAGGCAAGUGGAAUUUCCUGUGUAGCGGUGAAAUGCGUAGAUAUAGGAAGGAACAUCAGUGGCGAAGGCGACUUGCUGGACUGAUACUGACGCUGAGGAGCGAAAGCGUGGGGAGCGAACGGGAUUAGAUACCCGAGUAGUCC
rnacentral:rRNA from 1 species